UCAGAAGCAACGUUUAGUGCGGGGACACGAGUAAUUGAUUCUUAUCGUGCAUCAUUGCUGCCGGAAAUAGUACAAGCUUUACUCUGUGGGGGUGAUUGGCUUCGACAUAUACACGGAGUUACCAAAAACAAAAAAGAGAAAUCGUAUCAAGAAAUUCAUCUUCCUGUAUCCAACCCAUGAAAGUUAUGUUAGAAUGAUUGUUCCUAAUCUUUUUUGACGGGGCGUUGUUGCUGGAAAGAGUGAAGAUUGAAAAGCAUGGCGAGUGUGAAGUUGAUGUUAAGU